rfam:Ovis aries breed Texel chromosome 2, whole genome shotgun sequence.
AUAAAGGCUUUUCUAAAAACCACCUCAUUGUUUCACAGAUCUUUUCU